rnacentral:misc_RNA from 1 species
UUGAUGGCAUGUAGAAUUCAACCUAAGGGUGAAGAGGCCAAGAAAAGAGGAGUACUGAGCUAAGCAAAUACUGUCUUAUGGAGUUCAGGCCUCGAAAUUACAGUGCUGAGCAGGAAGCCCACGCGCUCCCUCGCUCACGCGCCGAUCACAAUCCUCUUUCCACUCCAUCUCCACCGACGUCUCCCCGAAACCAGGUGAUUGUUGCAAAUCAUGAAGAUAAUGAUUUCUUUGAUCCGCUGAGAGGAGGGUAUGCUAAUGCAGCGGUUUCAAAUGAGGAUUCGCCUGAUGUUGAUUAUGCUUCUCCUUCCUGUGCCAGUGCCAGUGCCGGUCUCUCUAGUGAAACUGUUACUCAAAUUCCAUCCAAGGAGUGGACCUCUUUUAAGAGAUUCUUAAUGCAAAAAUUUCCUGUGUCCAAAAUGAUUUCUGUUUCUUCUAUGCCCGAUAUGAUAAUAAAAGGUGGAAAGGCAUUUGACAAAUCUAAAAAAAGUACAUAUAUAGAGGAAUUGAAUGAUUCACAAAGAAAUAAUAAAGAUGAUGCCAAGGUCAUCACUCGGCAGGAGUAUGUCUCACGAAUGCAUGAGCUCAAACAUGAAAUUAUGCAUGCUUGGCAUGCUGAAGACCGUGUAACAGCUUUGAAGUUGUCUAUAAAGGUUGCUAAGCUUCUAAUGGAUACAUCAGUUCUACAGUUUUAUCCUACAUUAUUUGCUCUUGCAACAGAUGUAAUGGACAUGCUUGGAGAUAUGGUAUGGAAACGCAUCAGGCAGAAAGCUGAAUUUGCUGAAGAUGGAACCUUUCUUGGCAAAUUACCAGAGAAUUUUAAGGCAAGUGAUAUUUGCUCUGAUGCUAAGGAAACAUGCAAUAAUUGGUUUUUCAAAGUUGGUUCCGUCCGAGAGCUUCUUCCACGCAUAUAUUUGGAGUUGGCAAUAUUGCCUUGUUGGCGUUUUCUGCUUGAUCCACCUGCGGAUAAUCUCCAGAGACUGGUGAUGAUGACAAGAGGGUUAGCAGAUCCAUUGGCAUCUACAUAUUGCCGUUUAUAUAUGGUUCACUGUUCACGAAAGUUGCCUGCAUCCGAUAAGGGAUACCUGGUUACAUGUGUUAAUGACAUCAAAUUCCUAUUAAUUCAUCUUUUAUCUGCAAAGGAAACCCUGCAUGGACAUUUUUCAGGCAAAAUGAGGUUGCUUGUCAGUCUGAUCGAACCAACUAUUGAAUAUAUUAUGAAAUUCAUAUUUGAGGAUGCAUCUCAGAGGCAAGCAUACUCUGUAUUUUUGGAACUUGGACUAGGAAGGAAUCAAGCAAAUUUAUCUGAGAGUUUCCCAUGUGUCUCAAUUGUUCUUCACCAUCUGCUGAAGGAACUUCCAACCGAAGUAAUCCACCCCAAUUCUGUGGAUAUCCUGCACCUGAUUAAGUGCAAUAAUGACAAUUCUUUUGAUCAGUGUUUGAAUUAUAGGUUACUUGGAAUUAGACUAGGUGAAAGCGGAUCCCAAGUGGACAUCAUCACCUCAGUAGUGGAUGAAGUUAUUCAGGUUGUUACUCAAUAUGAUAAACUGGAUGAAUACUUGAAGGUUGUGGAUGCUUACAUGGACAUUGUUCUGCAAAAUCAAAUGGAUAACUAUUUGAACAACCUUUUAGAGGGUCUUUAUACACGAGCAUGCAAUAAAGAGAUAGUUGAAGAUGAACAGGGAAGCUUGCAGUCCAUUUUGUUGAAGCUUCUUUAUCAUUUUAAGGACUUAGACAGCAUAUUUGCUCUGAAACAUUUUCUUGAAAUCUUGGAUGUUAUGCAUGGGAGCUCUCGGAGUGUCAUUGAUUUGCAUAUUCUUAAUAUGGCAACAAGGAAUGAUCGUAUACAUGAUCCAACAACCAUACAGUUCCUUUUUGAAAUUUCUCAGUCUCUUCAUGAUGGUAUGGAUUUUGCAAAUGUGAAAGAUGAUGACAAUCAAAAGUCAGCACACCUGAUUUCUCGUUUUGUUCAGAUGGUUGACUAUGGGGCAGAGAUGGAACAGCAUUUAACAUUUUUAGUUGAAUGCCGUAGAGCCUUUGGUAGCGUAAAUGAACUUAAGGAAACUCUUGUUCACUCGAGCAAUUAUUUGGCAACUAAAGCUCUGAAAGAUAGAGAAACGAAUCUCAGUUUUGUCAAAUCUUGCGUAGCAUUUAGUGAGGUCACUAUACCUUCUAUUUCAUCUCAAGUGAGGCAGUUAAAUCUUUAUCUGGAGACUACUGAGGUUGCCUUGUUGGGUGGGUUAAUUUCUCACUCUGAUGGACUGAUUUUUUCUGCGAUAAGUUGUUUAGAAAAUGUGGACUACACAGAUGGUUGGUUCAUUUCUUCUUGUCAGCCUUGAAAUAUUUAUUGGAUGUAGAAUUAUAGAUGUGACAACAAGCCUGUUAGUAACAAUUCAGUAGCUGGCUUGCCAUAGUCAGAGACAUAGGAACAUGUAGAGAUGUUUCUUAGUGUCACACUAACUCCUAGUUUUCUAUAGGAACUGCUAUUUGUUUUGAAUUUGCUUUAACUGUGUUGUUACUCUAGUUCUGCUCGCUUAAAGCAAAUUCAUACAUGAUGCAGGCAAAAUUUUCUUUUAAGGAAAUUUAAUUUGUAGUAGUAGGUAUUAUGGAAGCCAACUGACACUAAUGCAUAUGUACUGGACCUACCCCUACUUGUUAUGAGCUCCCAAGCUGCAAAUUCCUAGUGGAGCAUUUAUAGCACAUGAACUGUUCUAAAUCUUGUCGAUACAAUUUUCUUUUGGCAAACUAGCAUCUGCCAACUAUGAGAAACUCCUGAAAUAUGGAGUAUAUGCUGAUAUUUCUGGUAUUAAAUUUCAUUUUUCUUUUCUGAAUUUAAAGAUAUGCUUUACUUUUUUUAUUGUCCUUCCUGAUGCCUAACUAAUGGUGCUUAAAAAGGGGUAUUAUUAUGGCAUGAAAAAUAACACUUGGAAAUGGAAUGUAGAUUUAUGCAUUGGGUUACAUUCUGCCUUCCUGAUUUUAAGAAGAUUUUCCUCACAUUUUGGGGUAUAUGUAUAUUUUGCUUUAAGUGUGGUCUGAUUUUCUGAUUUCAUUUUUUGUUGAAUUGAUUCCUUGUAGGAUCCCGGACUCCAACUGAUGUUGAUGGAAUACUCUCCUCUAUUCAAAAAUUAUGUAGCCUUUUGGUUAUGGUGCCAGGUAAUUCUGACCAAGUUGUAACAAAAAUCCCAAGUGGCAUUCUCUCUCUCAUUCAUUCCAGAUCAUGGAUGACACCAAGAAUCACAGCAAGGAUAUUUUGCGCAAUCAUCCUGUUGUUGGCAACACUUUCUCAGAAUAAGCUCCCAUACCAUUUGUGUCAUUCAGGGGUGCAGAUUCUCGGCAACGACUCGUUAUUCUUUGGUGAUUCAUCCUAUGUACACGAACUUGUUUCCUUAUCUGAGCAUGUCCUUCAGAAUCUACUUAAUGCUAUAGAACAAGAGCCAUCCAAGGCUGCUCGUGGAAGCAUUGCACUCGAAGCAUGCAACUGCAUAGCAUUUUCCUUCAAAUUAAGUCAUGAUAUGUUGCAAGUUUGCUGGAAAUUGAUUGAAGCUGCCAAGUUUUGUUUGAGCGCAAAUGACAAAUAUCUGCAGUCUACCAUCAAAUAUGUGGAUGAGCAGCUAUCUAAUUCUCAAGCAAUUCCAUCUGUGGCUAUCUGAUUUACGCAUGAGAUCAAUUGACACGUUAAAUAGGAAAAAUCUUAGGAAAUAUUCAUUUGCAUUCAAUCAGUUUUCUCUCUUGCUCAGGACUGACAUCAACAAGAUAUUCAAAAUAAACUUGUUCUACAAAUUAUAGGUAGCAUAUUCUUUUAUUUUUUAGGGAGGUCAGGAUAAGCAUGUUUUACAUUGUAGCUUUGUAUUGGUCAUUUCUCUUUAAUGAGAGGAAGUUAAUUUUCACUCUCCGCCCCUCGACUUAGGGGGUUGUAUCAGUGCCAUUUCUCAAAUUCAAUUUGAGCUUUGAGCUAUACUUAAAGUCCA